rnacentral:rRNA from 1 species
UACGUAGGGGGCAAGCGUUGUCCGGAUUUAUUGGGCGUAAAGCGCACGCAGGCGGUCGCUUAAGUUUCGAGUGACAGGUCAGGGCUUAACCCUGGCAGGCCUUGGAAAACUGGGGGACUUGAGGGCUUCAGAGGGACGCGGAAUUCCAGGUGGAGCGGUGAAAUGCGCAGAUAUCAGGAAGAACACCCGUGGCUAAGGCGGCUCUCUAGUACGGUACUGACGCUGAGACGCGAAAGCGUGGGGAGCGAACAGG